rnacentral:rRNA from 1 species
AUACGGGGGGUGCAAGCGUUAAUCGGGAUUACUGGGCGUAAAGCGCGCGUAGGCGGUUUGCUCAGUCGGAUGUGAAAGCCCAGGGCUCAACCUUGGAACUGCAUACGAUACUGGCAAACUAGAGUGUGAGAGAGGAUAGUGGAAUUUCCGGUGUAGCGGUGAAAUGCGUAGAUAUCGGAAGGAACAUCAGUGGCGAAGGCGACUGUCUGGCUCAACACUGACGCUGAGGUGCGAAAGCGUGGGUAGCAAACAGGAUUAGAAACCCCAGUAGUCC